rnacentral:rRNA from 1 species
ACGCUCGACACCUACGGGAGGCGGCAGUGGGGAAUAUUGCACAAUGGGGGAAACCCUGAUGCAGCGACGCCGCGUGAAGGAAGAAGUAUCUCGGUAUGUAAACUUCUAUCAGCAGGGAAGAAAAUGACGGUACCUGACUAAGAAGCCCCGGCUAACUACGUGCCUGCAGCCGCGGUAAUCUGAGCGGGCUGGCAAGGC